rnacentral:rRNA from 1 species
UACAGAGGGGGCAAGCGUUGUUCGGAAUUACUGGGCGUAAAGCGCGCGUAGGCGGCUUUGCAAGUCGGGUGUGAAAUCCCCAGGCUUAACCUGGGAACUGCAUUCGAGACUGCAUUGCUAGAGUAUGGGAGAGGGAAGUGGAAUUUCCGGUGUAGCGGUGAAAUGCGUAGAUAUCGGAAGGAACGCCGGUGGCGAAAGCGAUCGACUGGACCUCUUCUGACGCUGAGGCGCGAAAGCCAGGGGAGCAAACGGG